rnacentral:rRNA from 1 species
AACGAACGCUGGCGGCAUGCCUAACACAUGCAAGUCGAACGAGACCUUCGGGUCUAGUGGCGCACGGGUGCGUAACGCGUGGGAACCUGCCUUUAGGUUCGGAAUAACUCAGAGAAAUUUGAGCUAAUACCGGAUGAUGUCUUCGGACCAAAGAUUUAUCGCCUUUAGAUGGGCCUGCGUUGGAUUAGCUAGUUGGUGGGGUAAAGGCCUACCAAGGCGACGAUCCAUAGCUGGUCUGAGAGGAUGAUCAGCCACACUGGGACUGAGACACGGCCCAGACUCCUACGGGAGGCAGCAGUGGGGAAUAUUGGACAAUGGGCGAAAGCCUGAUCCAGCAAUGCCGCGUGAGUGAUGAAGGCCUUAGGGUUGUAAAGCUCUUUUACCCGAGAUGAUAAUGACAGUAUCGGGAGAAUAAGCUCCGGCUAACUCCGUG